rnacentral:rRNA from 1 species
GAUGAACGCUGGCGGCGUGCCUAAUACAUGCAAGUCGAGCGAACAGACGAGGAGCUUGCUCCUCUGACGUUAGCGGCGGACGGGUGAGUAACACGUGGAUAACCUACCUAUAAGUCUGGGAUAACUUCGGGAAACCGGAGCUAAUACCGGAUAAUAUAUUGAACCGCAUGGUUCAAUAGUGAAAGACGGUUUUGCUGUCACUUAUAGAUGGAUCCGCGCCGCAUUAGCUAGUUGGUAAGGUAACGGCUUACCAAGGCAACGAUGCGUAGCCGACCUGGGAGGUGAAUCGCCCACCUGGAACUUGGGCACGGGUCAAAAUUCUACGGGGGGGCAGCGUAGGGGAAUCUCCGCAAAUGGCGGAAGGCCUGCCGAGCAACGCCCGGUGGGGUGUGAAGGUCUUCCGAUCGUAAAACCCUUUUAUUUGGGAAAAACAAAUGUGGAAAUAACUAUGCACGUCUUGACGGUACCUAAUCAGAAAGCCACGGCUAACUACGUG